rnacentral:rRNA from 1 species
UAAUGUCUGGGAAACUGCCUGAUGGAGGGGGAUAACUGCUGGAAACGGUAGCUAAUACCGCAUAACGUCGCAAGACCAAAGAGGGGGACCGUUCGGGCCUCAUGCCAUCAGAUGUGCCCAGAUGGGAUUAGCUAGUAGGUGGGGUAACGGCUCACCUAGGCGACGAUCCCUAGCUGGUCUGAGAGGAUGACCAGCCACACUGGAACUGAGACACGGUCCAG